GCCAAGGGCAUCGCUGGGUCGGUAUGUGCGGACGGGAUAAUGGCUUAAAGCAUCUAAGCAUGAAGCCCCCCUCAAGAUGAGAUUUCCCAUAGCGCAAGCUAGUAAGAACCCUGAAAGAUGAUCAGGUUGAUAGGUCAGAGGUGGAAGCGUGGUAACAUGUGGAGCUGACUGAUACUAAUCGUUCGAGGACUUAACCAA
rnacentral:rRNA from 1 species